rnacentral:rRNA from 1 species
GACGAACGCUGGCGGUAUGCUUAAUACAUGCAAGUCGAACGGAGUCCAAGGGAAGCUUGCUUCCCUGAAGACUUAGUGGCGGACGGGUGAGUAACGCGUGAGGAACCUGCCUUUCAGUGGGGGACGACAGUUGGAAACGACUGCUAAUACCGCAUAACAUACACGGACCGCAUGAUCUGUGUAUCAAAGCUUUAUGUGCUGAAAGAUGGCCUCGCGUCUGAUUAGCUAGUUGGUGGGGUAACGGCCCACCAAGGCGACGAUCAGUAGCCGGUCUGAGAGGAUGAACGGCCACAUUGGGACUGAGAUACGGCCCAGACUCCUACGGGAGGCAGCAGUGGGGAGUAUUGGGCAAUGGGGAAACCUGACCCAACAACGCCGCGGUG